GAACAAGGUGGUGGAGGACGAGCUAGCUGAGUGCUGCAGACACUCUAAGAGCACUGAGCUAGCUCUCCCUCCAUGUCCUGCUCAA
ensembl:miRNA Mir1947 microRNA 1947